ACUUGCGCACACUCUCAUAAACCAGAAUCCGUCUUUCUUUGAAAGAAGACACCCAACCCCAGAGAUUUUGUUGCACAUCAAAGUCCUUGUUUAGACAUUCUCCGCUGCGUCCUGGACACAGAGACACUUCUCCAGCCCCGCUGACCUAGACAUCCUGUCUGCUGAGACCGUAGGCGUCCAGAGGACAGAAACAGGACAGAAAGGUACCCUUGGCACCACAUAGCACCACAACCCACCACAGACAUGUCGGAUUCUGAGACCGCGGCUGCCCCCGCAGAGGCCCCCGUCCCUGCAGCGUGCGCCAGCGUCAAAGCAGACCUGGACAAAUGCGUGGCGGAGAAGGGAGCCGAGGGCUGCAGGGAGCUGAUGGAGGCCUUCGCCGCCUGCGUGAAGAGCGCAGCUGAGGGGACGUCGUGAGGAGCCCCCUGCAGCCUGACAUGUCCAAUGCACCGAGUCCUCCAAGUUCCCAGCAUUCCCUUUCUGCACAACAGCACUCGACUGAAUGGUGAUAACAAUAAGGAUGACGAUUAUCGUGGGACAAACACUGUGUUGAUCGGUCUGAGUUUGGGAUCUGGAAGCAGUAACCUUAGCAUCCCCUCCCUGCCCCCUCCGUUCCUCUCCCUGUUUUAGCCGUACCUGGUCUCCCUCAGUCUUUCUGUCGUCCUCCCUGCUGAUAUCCAGUACAUUGACAAUUCCAGAGAGCUGAUGGGCUGUGAUGUAACCUGUCGACUUGAGAUAAAUGCUUAUAAAUGGAAAUAAAGUAUAAAAGAACUGGUGUGAAAACAAA